rfam:Schistosoma margrebowiei strain Zambia genome assembly, scaffold: SMRZ_contig0002579
AUUCAGCUGACGAGUCCCAAAAGGGAUGAAACGCGCGUCCUGCAU